rnacentral:rRNA from 1 species
UACGUAGGGUGCAAGCGUUAAUCGGAAUCACUGGGCGUAAAGCGCGCGCAGGCGGUUUUGUAAGUCUGUCGUGAAAUCCCCGGGCUUAACCUGGGAAUUGCGAUGGAGACUGCAAGGCUAGAAUCUGGCAGAGGGGGGUAGAAUUCCACGUGUAGCAGUGAAAUGCGUAGAGAUGUGGAGGAACACCGAUGGCGAAGGCAGCCCCCUGGGUCAAGAUUGACGCUCAUGCGCGAAAGCGUGGGGAGCAAACAGG